rnacentral:lncRNA from 1 species
AGAAGUCAAUUGUUUCUGCAAUGAAUAUUCACAAUACACAUCCCCACAAAGGACAGCUAAUGCAUCCAAAAGUGAAACCGGUAAACAGCCACUGGCAAUAGAAAUUUAUGGAAUUAGAAAAACCGGACUGGUUAAAAUACAUGACUGCAUUCAUUGUUGCAAAAUGAUUGGAUUCAUGUCUCAUCAAAUUUACAUUGUGAAGACUGAAUAUAGUAUGAUUAGGCAUUAUUUUAACAACUACAUUAAAAUACAAUUUAAAAUAAAAUGGCCCUUCAUAUCAUACUAAUAUCAGUGUUUUAAAUAACAAAGGGAAUUUUUUUAAAGGAAAGGAUUAGCAUCUUGUUUCAAUCAGUACAAGCAAUGAGAUUCCAGUUGGGGUCUCAAAGAUUCAGGAUUUUAUUAAUAUUCCAGAGAUGCAUUUGUGUUGCCUCUGGGUACACUGAAAAGCCACUUAAACCGCACUUAAAACAGCACUACAGGAUCAAAUUGAUGUGCAUCAACCAUUUACAAUAAAACUUGAUUAUUAUAAAGGCAUACAUAUUUGCAUAAUUACAUGUUUGAUUUUUUGAUAAUGCAGCAUACAGGACAAAAUGUUGCUUCAUGUAGAAACACAUCAUCAAAAAGCACCAUCUGCUGUAGUAUUUAAUGCACUGCACACUGAUCAAAAACGUUGAAGAUGGAUUUCCGAGUAUCAAAAAGAAGAAAGCCUGAGUUGUAUUUACACAGGCAGUAUGGCUGGCUGGAUCAUGUAGAAAGGAGAAAUAAAAUUCAGGCAAAACAUGGUAUAAAAAGAUAAGAGCCACACAUCUUCAAACACAGGGAUGAGCACGUUCCCGAAUGCGGGAUGAGAGGUUUGGGUCUCUGUUUGUAUGAUGUCAUCCUCACAUUUAGUAAAUUCUCAGAUUCUGGAUUCUAUAUUUAGAAACGAAACACUUUAGAAUAAUUGCUCAUGAAUAGGGUUAUCCUUGGAGAGGCUUCCAUUAUGUGUAGCCGUGGAUUUGGAGAGGAGAAAAAAAAAAAAGGAAAAAAAAAAACCAAAAAAAAAAACCCUCCAUUUUUCAUUGUGCAUGAAAAUGAGGGCAGUAACAAUGAUUAUCUUGGAUAGGGGAUUACACACGAUUCUUUUCCUCUUGAUGGUUUUUCCUCUCCAAUAGUCUUCCUAAUUUUUAUGGAAUAUACGUUUAAAAACUACAUAAAAUUAAAAGGAAAAAAAACAAUAAAAACGUAAAAGCGAGAUCUAUUUUUGUAAAAGAACUGUUCUUAGGAAGAGAAAGCAAGAGAAUACAUACAAAAAAAAUCACUAACAUGCAGAAUAAACGUUCAACACGCGCUUUGCGGAGCACCUAGGAGAAGAGAAGACACACCUGUGGGAUGAAUAAAAACCAUCUGGUCGUGAAGGUGAUGGUGUUGUUUUACUACUGGUGAAGUUAAGCUUCAGAUCCUAAAGUUCUAGUGUCAAAAAUGGAGCUGCACAUCUCAAAAGGGAGAAAAGACCUCUUCGUUAGAAUUCCAUUUAUUCGGGGCCUACAAGAAUUCUUGAAAACCCCACAUAUUCUUAUUUAGGACUUUUUCUAUGUGAGCCUCCAGAGAGGCCUGAUUGAAAAAAAAAGGAAUCCUACAGAUGAAGAACCCAGGGUAAAUUAGGGACUUUGGGAAAGAGUGAACUUACUCAAUUGUUUCCUACCGCCAGUUCCAACCUCCCCGCAACGCACACACACAAAACUGAAAUAUUACUCUAGUCACAGAUUUGACAUCACAGACAGGAGAAAUCCAAUCUUGUCUGUACUCUGUACAAAUACUGGGAAUUCACAAAAUAAGAGUUAAUUAAUACGAUGGGUUUUGUCCAGUUAGGAGUGCCCUGGUAAGAGAGGAUACGUUCUGAGGGAAAGUCCUAAGAGCUUUCCCAAAUGAAAAACCUGGGAAUCAAAGGGAGCAAGGACAUAAAUCAGAUACUGGGAAAUGCCACUGUUUGGAACUGAUUCUGGAAAAUUCUAGACCUCGUGCUCCUUUGACAUCGGCAGUUUCUAACUCACUCUUCCCUGUGGAAGCUCACUGCAGGAAGUUAGAUCCACGCAAACAGAAAUGGUCAGGUAGGCAGGCUCAAGGGUGGGGCAGGCUGGUGGGCAGAGCAGCCAGCUCUCUGAGGGUGUCCUCCAUGGGGACCAUGGGCCCUAACACCAGAGAGGCCACCGCACAAGGGCCAGAGUCACAGGUGCCACCCAAGCACAUCUUCUAUCUUACAGCUCGUCCAAAGAUCCGAAUCAGCCAGAUCAGCUGUCUCGCUAAGAAAGUUUUGAAUGACACUCAUUUCUUAGCACCUGGAACGUGUGUGUGAGUGUGUGUGUAUGUUGGGAGAACAGCACUUGGAAAAUAUGCCUUGGCUUACUAGAAAAAAAUGAAAAUGAAAAUGCAUUUUUUUUGGCUAUAAAUAUCAGUAUUAGGCUCAGCAUUUAUUGUUGAAGAUUUUUUCAUUUUUAAUGUUUCUCAUCAAAUUAUGAAAAUAGCAUAUAUUUAAAUUAGAAAAUCCAGAGUCUAUAGAAAAGGACAAAGAAAAAAAUUAAAAUGAUCAGUAAUCCUACUUUUCACUUACUUGGAUUUUACAUUUCCCAUAGCAAAAGCUACAAAAUAUUCUUUAAAAGAGAAACCAAAACCAUUGAUUUAUUUAUAACCCUCCUUUUAAAAAUUUAGCGAACUUUCAUGAUAAACUCAAUACAUGAGAAUGGUAUGAAUUCAGAGAGCAUUGGUGAACUAUAUGGUGCCCAUGCUUCUAACAGCCCUUGCCUGGGCUCAUGUGGCCAGUGCUCCCCUCCAUGGAGUAAGGACCCAGGGAACGUACCCCCAGAUCACUUGUUCAAUGUGCUUGGAGAACCAGGGCCCAGAACACUCUGCUCAGAGGUUCACUGCCAAGGGCUUCACCUCUUCCCCGGGCAGCCCAAGAAUGGGCUGGGUACACUUGCAGGUCUACAGGGGAGCCCAGGUCCAGCUGAUUGUGGAUGAUGUCAAGGGGGCUUGGACAGGUAGGCUGAGAUGUCCACCUGGGUGCUCCUGGGGCCCUUCGUACUGUGAGAUGCAGUUUAAGGUGCUAAGGGAAUGGGGUGUGUAACAGGAGGAGAACUGGAGGGGACCUCGACAGAGUCUGAAAAUAAUGUAUUUGAACCUGACCUACUCCGUCAUUGUGAAGAUGUAUCCGUUAAGGAAGGAGACUAGAACACGUCUCACGUAAUGGUUGUGUUGGCUUGAUUUAAAAUCCUCAAAGUUUUGGCAUAUGGUAAGAUGGCCUACAUAUGUAAUUUUGCUCCUAGAACUGCAAAUGCCGGGGAACAAGUCUGAUGUCAACAAAGACCGCGUUUAGUGGGAUUUCUUGCAGGAAAAGCAGCAGUAGUUUCAUUCUGAGUAUUUCCAUGUUUCCUCUUGGAAAACAAACAGUGAACAAGAGAAUGUACAAAAAUAGCCACAAAUUCUAUUUUCACUGAAACUAGGAAACAGAAAAGAAUUUAUAAUCUUCCAAAUAACUGAGACAAAUGGAACUUGCAGGCUGCUCUGCAGAAGACUGAGAAAGAAUGGCGAGAAGGUGUCGGCAGGCGGAGGGGCUGAAGGGAUGCAGAUCUCUGAAAUAUGCAGAAAGCACACACUGCUGAAGGGCAAGAACUCCACCCUGAGCAGGAACAGCUGGGAGCCAGGAUGAGCUCUUACAAGAACUGAAUGGUGCCAGAGGCAGCGUGAGAGGUGAGGAAAGUGCCUGGUGGAGCCCAAGGGUAGAUCUUGGAAUCUACCACAAAACCUAAUAAAGGAGAAGUAAAUCAGUAACUCAACAAAAGUGCCUUCUAAAAAGAGUGGAUGAUCAAGAAGGCAAAGCGUGCACCCUUGUGGGUGUAGGGUGGGGCAUCAGCUGGUGUGGGAACCAGGCAAAUAUAGAAUGGGCUGAAUAAAUCCUCCAGAGUCAAAUUAAGUUCUAGAAGAAAAGAUGGCAGACUUUAAGGAAGAUAUCUAUCUCUGUAGCAUCAAAAGGUGUCUGACCUAUAAAGUCUUGAAGGAUACACUGUGCCUACUCCUUUCUCCAAGUAACUCUGGCUAUUAACAAAUUCGAAAAAACCAACUCAUCCAAUACGAAUAUCGGACAGAGGAUAAGGACAGCACACAUACAGUAGCGCUGUAAGAAAAAAAUGCUUUUGAAAAUUAGCAAAAUGAUUCUACAAGUGAAGAAAUUUCAACAGGAAAAAAUAUCUAGAGAGCAGAUUAAAAGUUACAUUAAAAUAACACUGAAGCGAAAACUGUUCUAAAACACCACACACCAAAUUAUGUUGCUUAGACCAAAGGUGUAAAAGAUAGAAGGUAAACCAGCUACUGGCAGAACUCAGGAAAGAAAUGGGUAAAAUCAAAUUAUUUCAGAAAUGAAGAUUAAUGAUUAGCACUUGGGGGAGUAGACACCACAGAGAGGAAAAGACAAGAUAGAAACAGGAAAAGUAAAGUGAAACAAAUAAGGAAUUAAAAAAAAAUAGAGAAAAAAAUAACUAUAGAAGACAAAGGAGAUUCAAUUUGUGCAUUACUAAAUUUCCCCCAAAGUAAACCAAAACAAUAAAACAAAAAAUUAUAUAUAAUUUAAGAAACUUUUCCUGAAAUGGGAGAAUUUCCAUCAAUUUUAAUGUUGAAAGGGCAUCAGGAAAACUAACUCCGAAUGACCAACAAUGACGCUUCCACUCAUUCUGUAGGGCUUCUUAUCUUAGGUCAGCAUCAAAGUUGAUUUUUGGCUAAUAAGCAUAACAAAAUAGUGAAGGAAAUUUAUGUGAAAAGGGGCAAUGAAAUUUUAAUGAUAUAUGCAAAACGACAGCAGCGCCUCUAAUAAAGCAUGAGUUUGCAGAAAUUUUUGGAGAAAUAGACACAAGCUGUGGGAGGCUUCAAAUUACCACUUUUGAUCUGACAUAUCAAGUGGAAUGAACAUAAGCAAAAGGACAGAGAGAACCCAAACAACAAUAGUCAACAAGGUAGAAAAAAAUUUGUUUAUAUAACUGGGAAUUGUAAAUCGUUCAUUACCGCAGCAUAAUCAUUCUAUUCUUGCUGAAACUCAUAUCUGACAAGAUUAUAUUCCAGCAUUAUUGUUAACGAUGAGACCAUAGAACCACUUCCAUCAAAGUCAGGAACAUGAUAUGCCUCUUACCCAUUUCCUCUAGUACCUAUAUUAUUUAACAUUAUAUGAGGAAGUAUUUACUAAUAAACAUUUUUAAAUAGCAAUUGAAGACAAAAAUUAUAAAGAGAUAAAUCUGUCUUUAUUGAUAUUUAACUGUUUAGCCCCAUCUGCAAGACAAUCAACUGAAGACUACAAAAUACAUAUAUAUAUAAAUAUAAAAUAAUUUAUUAUUUAAUGUGGAUUAAACAUUUCUAUCUACUUUCAUUUUUAUGGUUUUCAUAUAAAGAGAUAAUCAAAUCGAAAAUACUUUAAAACAUUAAAGCUUCAUUAACAACAGCAAGAGACAUAAAAUAUCUUUGGAAAACUUUCCUAGAAAUGGAGAUAACGUACACAAGGAAAACUCUAAAACCCUCUUGAUAAACACAAUAUAAACUUUCAAUUUUAAACCUCAUAAAUCCAUUGCCAACAUGCUAUGUAUUUGUGAUGGUUAAUUUUGUGUGCCAACCUGACUGGACACAGGGUCCACACAUCAUUUUGGGUGUGUCCUGAGAGUGUUCUGGAUGGAAUUAACAUUUAAGUAGAUAAAAUGAGCAAAGCAGAUUGUCUCCCCAAAUGUGAAUUGGUGGGCCUUAUCCAAUCAGUUGAAGGCUACAAUAGAACAAAAGAGCUGACCUUCCUGAAUGGAAUUCCUUUGGCUUAAGUGAUUGAGCUGGGACAUCAGUCUUUUUCCUAUCUUUGGCUCAAACUGAAACAUUGGCUCUUCUUAGGUCUCAAGCCUGCUAGCUUUUGUCCUGGGAUUUACACCAUCAGCUCUCAAGUGAUCAGGCCUUUGGACUUGGACUAAAACUACACAUCAUACAAUCAAAGAUAAACAAGAUCUUAUUUUUUUUGAGGAUGAAUUUUUAAAUGUCAAACUCCAGGUAUUCAUAGUUCCAAGAACUUUCUAUUUUGUUCUUAUGCAAAAGGUCAGUAAGUAGAGACAAUAACAUGCCCAAGGAGACCACAGUGGUUAUUGGCUUCCUAGUCCUAGGAAUGUGGCUAUUUCUUGAAGAGUUGCUGAAUAUGAAAGUUUAUCCCAAAGGGGUGCUAUCUUCCACUC